CCUACGGGAGGCUGCAGUGGGGAAUUGUUCGCAAUGGGCGCAAGCCUGACGACGCAACGCCGCGUGGAGGAUGAAGACCUUCGGGUCGUAAACUCCUUUCGAUCGAGACGAAUGUUUUUCGGGUGAAUAAUCCGGAAAAGUGACGGUACCGAGAGAAGAAGCCCCGGCUAACUCUGUGCCAGCAGCCGCGGUAAUACAGGGGGGGCAAGCGUUGUUCGGAAUUACUGGGCGUAAAGGGCUCGUAGGUGGCCAACUAAGUCAGACGUGAAAUCCCUCAGCUUAACUGGGGAACUGCGUCUGAUACUGGAUGGCUUGAGUUUGGGAGAGGGAUGCGGAAUUCCAGGUGUAGCGGUGAAAUGCGUAGAUAUCUGGAGGAACACCGGUGGCGAAGGCGGCAUCCUGGACCAACAAUGACACUGAGGAGCGAAAGCCAGGGGAGC
rnacentral:rRNA from 1 species